UACGGAGGAGGCAAGCGUUGUCCGGAUUUACUGGGCGUAAAGGGAGCGUAGGCGGAUACUUAAGUGGGAUGUGAAAUACCCGGGCUCAACCUGGGUGCUGCAUUCCAAACUGGGUGUCUAGAGUGCAGGAGAGGAAAGUGGAAUUCCUAGUGUAGCGGUGAAAUGCGUAGAGAUUAGGAAGAACACCAGUGGCGAAGGCGACUUUCUGGACUGUAACUGACGCUGAGGCUCGAAAGCGUGGGGAGCAAACAGG
rnacentral:rRNA from 1 species